rnacentral:rRNA from 1 species
GAAGUUAGCGGCGGACGGGUGAGUAACACGUGGGUAACCUGCCUAUAAGACUGGGAUAACUCCGGGAAACCGGGGCUAAUACCGGAUAACAUUUUGCACCGCAUGGUGCGAAAUUGAAAGGCGGCUUCGGCUGUCACUUAUAGAUGGACCUGCGGCGCAUUAGCUAGUUGGUGAGGUAACGGCUCACCAAGGCGACGAUGCGUAGCCGACCUGAGAGGGUGAUCGGCCACACUGGGACUGAGACACGGCCCAGACUCCUACGGGAGGCAGCAGUAGGGAAUCUUCCGCAAUGGACGAAAGUCUGACGGAGCAACGCCGCGUGAGCGAUGAAGGCCUUCGGGUCGUAAAGCUCUGUUGUUAGGGAAGAACAAGUGUGAGUUGAAUAAGCUCAUGCCUUGACGGUACCUAACCAGAAAGCCACGGCUAACUACGUGCCAG